rnacentral:rRNA from 1 species
CAGCCGCCGCGGUAACACAUAGGGGGCGAGCGUUAUCCGGAAUUACUGGGCGUAAAGCGUGUGUAGGCGGUCUAUUAAGUCUGGCGUGAAAUCCCACGGCUUAACUGUGGAGGGUCGUUGGAAACUGAUAGACUUGAGUACGGCAGAGGUAAGUGGAAUUCCAAGUGGAGCGGUGGAAUGCGUAGAUAUUUGGAGGAACACCAGUGGCGAAGGCGGCUUACUGGGCCGGAACUGACGCUGAGACACGAAAGCGUGGGGAGCAAACAGGAUUAGAUACCCUGGUAGUCCACGCCGUAAACGAUGAGCACUAAGUGUCGGAUGCAAAUUCGGCGCUGCAGUUAACACAUUAAGUGCUCCGCCUGGGGAGUACGGUCGCAAGACUGAAACUCAAAGGAAUUGACGGGGACUCGCACAAGCGGUGGAGCAUGCGGUUUAAUUCGAUGCAACGCGAAGAACCUUACCAGGUCUUGACAUCCCGCUGCCAGCCCCAGAAAUGGGGUCUUCCUUCGGGACGGCGGUGACAGGUGGUGCAUGGCC